rnacentral:piRNA from 1 species
UUGCUUACUUUUGGCCCAAAAGGCCUUACC